CAGUCGCCGCGGGAAUACAGAGGGUGCAAGCGUUAAUCGGAAUUACUGGGCGUAAAGCGCGCGUAGGUGGUUUGUUAAGUUGGAUGUGAAAUCCCCGGGCUCAACCUGGGAACCGCAUCCAAAACUGGCAGGCUAGAGUCUUGUAGAGGGGGGUAGAAUUCCAGGUGUAGCGGUGAAAUGCGUAGAGAUCUGGAGGAAUACCGGUGGCGAAGGCGGCCCCCUGGACAAAGACUGACGCUCAGGUGCGAAAGCGUGGGGAGCAAACAGGAUUAGAUACCCCUGUAGUCCCUGUCUCUUAUAC
rnacentral:rRNA from 1 species